GGGUUGUGAGGUUAAGCGACUAAGCGUACACGGUGGAUGCCUUGGCAGUCAGAGGCGAUGAAGGGCGUGCUAAUCUGCGAUAAGCGCCGGUAAGGUGAUAUGAACCGUUAUAACCGGCGAUACCCGAAUGGGGAAACCCAGUGUGACUCGUCACACUAUCAUUAACUGAAUCCAUAGGUUAAUGAGGCGAACCGGGGGAACUGAAACAUCUAAGUACCCCGAGGAAAAGAAAUCAACCGAGAUUCCCCCAGUAGCGGCGAGCGAACGGGGAGGAGCCCAGAGCCUGAAUCAGCAUGUGUGUUAGUGGAAGCGUCUGGAAAGGCGCGCGAUACAGGGUGACAGCCCCGUACACAAAAGCGCAUGUGCUGUGAGCUCGAUGAGUAGGGCGGGACACGUGGUAUCCUGUCUGAAUAUGGGGGGACCAUCCUCCAAGGCUAAAUACUCCUGACUGACCGAUAGUGAACCAGUACCGUGAGGGAAAGGCGAAAAGAACCCCGGCGAGGGGAGUGAAAAAGAACCUGAAACCGUGUACGUACAAGCAGUGGGAGCCCCACCACUAAGCCAGUGGUGAACUCCACAUCCGCAUCCUUUGCUGAGGAUACGGUUAACGGAGCGAAAGCGACGUUCAACCGCAAAACAAGCAGAGGGGGCUUAGUGGUGGGGUGACUGCGUACCUUUUGUAUAAUGGGUCAGCGACUUAUAUUCUGUAGCAAGGUUAACCGUAUAGGGGAGCCGGAGGGAAACCGAGUCUUAAUUGGGCGUUAAGUUGCAGGGUAUAGACCCGAAACCCGGUGAUCUAGCCAUGGGCAGGUUGAAGGUUGGGUAACACUAACUGGAGGACCGAACCGACUAAUGUUGAAAAAUUAGCGGAUGACCUGUGGCUGGGGGUGAAAGGCCAAUCAAACCGGGAGAUAGCUGGUUCUCCCCGAAAGCUAUUUAGGUAGCGCCUCGUGAAUUCAUCUCCGGGGGUAGAGCACUGUUUCGGCUAGGGGGCCAUCCCGGCUUACCAACCCGAUGCAAACUGCGAAUACCGGAGAAUGUUAUCACGGGAGACACACGGCGGGUGCUAACGUCCGUCGUGAAGAGGGAAACAACCCAGGCCGCCAGCUAAGGUCCCAAAGUCAUGGUUAAGUGGGAAACGAUGUGGGAAGGCCCAGACAGCCAGGAUGUUGGCUUAGAAGCAGCCAUCAUUUAAAGAAAGCGUAAUAGCUCACUGGUCGAGUCGGCCUGCGCGGAAGAUGUAACGGGGCUAAACCAUGCACCGAAGCUGCGGCAGCGACGCUGAUGCGUUGUUGGGUAGGGGAGCGUUCUGUAAGCCUGCGAAGGUGACCUGUGAGGGUUGCUGGAGGUAUCAGAAGUGCGAAUGCUGACAUAAGUAACGAUAAAGCGGGUGAAAAGCCCGCUCGCCGGAAGACCAAGGGUUCCUGUCCAACGUUAAUCGGGGCAGGGUGAGUCGACCCCUAAGGCGAGGCCGAAAGGCGUAGUUGAUGGGAAACGGGUUAAUAUUCCCGUACUUGGUGUUACUGCGAAGGGGGGACGGAGAAGGCUAUGUUGGCCGGGCGACGGUUGUCCCGGUUUAAGCGUGUAGGUGUGUGUUCCAGGUAAAUCCGGUUCACUUUAACACUGAGGCGUGAUGACGAGGCACUACGGUGCUGAAGCAACAAAUGCCCUGCUUCCAGGAAAAGCCUCUAAGCAUCAGGUAACAUCAAAUCGUACCCCAAACCGACACAGGUGGUCAGGUAGAGAAUACCAAGGCGCUUGAGAGAACUCGGGUGAAGGAACUAGGCAAAAUGGUGCCGUAACUUCGGGAGAAGGCACGCUGACACGUAGGUGAAGUGAUUUACUCAUGGAGCUGAAGUCAGUCGAAGAUACCAGCUGGCUGCAACUGUUUAUUAAAAACACAGCACUGUGCAAACACGAAAGUGGACGUAUACGGUGUGACGCCUGCCCGGUGCCGGAAGGUUAAUUGAUGGGGUCAGCGCAAGCGAAGCUCCUGAUCGAAGCCCCGGUAAACGGCGGCCGUAACUAUAACGGUCCUAAGGUAGCGAAAUUCCUUGUCGGGUAAGUUCCGACCUGCACGAAUGGCGUAAUGAUGGCCAGGCUGUCUCCACCCGAGACUCAGUGAAAUUGAACUCGCUGUGAAGAUGCAGUGUACCCGCGGCAAGACGGAAAGACCCCGUGAACCUUUACUAUAGCUUGACACUGAACAUUGAGCCUUGAUGUGUAGGAUAGGUGGGAGGCUUUGAAGUGUGGACGCCAGUCUGCAUGGAGCCGACCUUGAAAUACCACCCUUUAAUGUUUGAUGUUCUAACGUGGACCCGUAAUCCGGGUUGCGGACAGUGUCUGGUGGGUAGUUUGACUGGGGCGGUCUCCUCCUAAAGAGUAACGGAGGAGCACGAAGGUUGGCUAAUCCUGGUCGGACAUCAGGAGGUUAGUGCAAUGGCAUAAGCCAGCUUGACUGCGAGCGUGACGGCGCGAGCAGGUGCGAAAGCAGGUCAUAGUGAUCCGGUGGUUCUGAAUGGAAGGGCCAUCGCUCAACGGAUAAAAGGUACUCCGGGGAUAACAGGCUGAUACCGCCCAAGAGUUCAUAUCGACGGCGGUGUUUGGCACCUCGAUGUCGGCUCAUCACAUCCUGGGGCUGAAGUAGGUCCCAAGGGUAUGGCUGUUCGCCAUUUAAAGUGGUACGCGAGCUGGGUUUAGAACGUCGUGAGACAGUUCGGUCCCUAUCUGCCGUGGGCGCUGGAGAACUGAGGGGGGCUGCUCCUAGUACGAGAGGACCGGAGUGGACGCAUCACUGGUGUUCGGGUUGUCAUGCCAAUGGCACUGCCCGGUAGCUAAAUGCGGAAGAGAUAAGUGCUGAAAGCAUCUAAGCACGAAACUUGCCCCGAGAUGAGUUCUCCCUGAGACUUUAGGUCUCCUGAAGGAACGUUGAAGACGACGACGUUGAUAGGCCGGGUGUGUAAGCGCAGCGAUGCGUUGAGCUAACCGGUACUAAUGAACCGUGAGGCUUAACCUUACAACGCCGAAG
rnacentral:rRNA from 1 species